AGAGUUUGAUCAUGGCUCAGAUUGAACGCUGGCGGCAGGCCUAACACAUGCAAGUCGAACGGUAACAGGAAGCAGCUUGCUGCUUUGCUGACGAGUGGCGGACGGGUGAGUAAUGUCUGGGAAACUGCCUGAUGGAGGGGGAUAACUACUGGAAACGGUGGCUAAUACCGCAUAACGUCGCAAGACCAAAGAGGGGGACCUUCGGGCCUCUUGCCAUCAGAUGUGCCCAGAUGGGAUUAGCUUGUUGGUGAGGUAACGGCUCACCAAGGCGACGAUCCCUAGCUGGUCUGAGAGGAUGACCAGCCACACUGGAACUGAGACACGGUCCAGACUCCUACGGGAGGCAGCAGUGGGGAAUAUUGCACAAUGGGCGCAAGCCUGAUGCAGCCAUGCCGCGUGUAUGAAGAAGGCCUUCGGGUUGUAAAGUACUUUCAGCGGGGAGGAAGGUGUUGUGGUUAAUAACCGCAGCAAUUGACGUUACCCGCAGAAGAAGCACCGGCUAACUCCGUGCCAGCAGCCGCGGUAAUACGGAGGGUGCAAGCGUUAAUCGGAAUUACUGGGCGUAAAGCGCACGCAGGCGGUCUGUCAAGUCGGAUGUGAAAUCCCCGGGCUCAACCUGGGAACUGCAUUCGAAACUGGCAGGCUUGAGUCUUGUAGAGGGGGGUAGAAUUCCAGGUGUAGCGGUGAAAUGCGUAGAGAUCUGGAGGAAUACCGGUGGCGAAGGCGGCCCCCUGGACAAAGACUGACGCUCAGGUGCGAAAGCGUGGGGAGCAAACAGGAUUAGAUACCCUGGUAGUCCACGCCGUAAACGAUGUCUACUUGGAGGUUGUGCCCUUGAGGCGUGGCUUCCGGAGCUAACGCGUUAAGUAGACCGCCUGGGGAGUACGGCCGCAAGGUUAAAACUCAAAUGAAUUGACGGGGGCCCGCACAAGCGGUGGAGCAUGUGGUUUAAUUCGAUGCAACGCGAAGAACCUUACCUGGUCUUGACAUCCACGGAAGUUUUCAGAGAUGAGAAUGUGCCUUCGGGAACCGUGAGACAGGUGCUGCAUGGCUGUCGUCAGCUCGUGUUGUGAAAUGUUGGGUUAAGUCCCGCAACGAGCGCAACCCUUAUCCUUUGUUGCCAGCGGUUAGGCCGGGAACUCAAAGGAGACUGCCAGUGAUAAACUGGAGGAAGGUGGGGAUGACGUCAAGUCAUCAUGGCCCUUACGACCAGGGCUACACACGUGCUACAAUGGCGCAUACAAAGAGAAGCGACCUCGCGAGAGCAAGCGGACCUCAUAAAGUGCGUCGUAGUCCGGAUUGGAGUCUGCAACUCGACUCCAUGAAGUCGGAAUCGCUAGUAAUCGUGGAUCAGAAUGCCACGGUGAAUACGUUCCCGGGCCUUGUACACACCGCCCGUCACACCAUGGGAGUGGGUUGCAAAAGAAGUAGGUAGCUUAACCUUCGGGAGGGCGCUUACCACUUUGUGAUUCAUGACUGGGGUGAAGUCGUAACAAGGUAACCGUAGGGGAACCUGCGGUUGGAUCACCU
rnacentral:rRNA from 2 species